GGACGAACGCUGGCGGCGUGCCUAAUCCAUGCAAGUCGAACGCUUCUUUCCUCCCGAGUGCUUGCACUCAAUUGGAAAGAGGAGUGGCGGACGGGUGAGUAACACGUGGGUAACCUACCCAUCAGAGGGGGAUAACACUUGGAAACAGGUGCUAAUACCGCAUAACAGUUUAUGCCGCAUGGCAUAAGAGUGAAAGGCGCUUUCGGGUGUCGCUGAUGGAUGGACCCGCGGUGCAUUAGCUAGUUGGUGAGGUAACGGCUCACCAAGGCCACGAUGCAUAGCCGACCUGAGAGGGUGAUCGGCCACACUGGGACUGAGACACGGCCCAGACUCCUACGGGAGGCAGCAGUAGGGAAUCUUCGGCAAUGGACGAAAGUCUGACCGAGCAACGCCGCGUGAGUGAAGAAGGUUUUCGGAUCGUAAAACUCUGUUGUUAGAGAAGAACAAGGACGUUAGUAACUGAACGUCCCCUGACGGUAUCUAACCAGAAAGCCACGGCUAACUACGUG
rnacentral:rRNA from 1 species